rnacentral:rRNA from 1 species
GAUGAACGCUGGCGGCGUGCCUAAUACAUGCAAGUCGAGCGAACAGACGAGGAGCUUGCUCCUCUGACGUUAGCGGCGGACGGGUGAGUAACACGUGUAUAACCUACCUAUAAGACUGGGAUAACUUCGGGAAACCGGAGCUAAUACCGGAUAAUAUAUUGAACCGCAUGGUUCAAUAGUGAAAGACGGUUUUGCUGUCACUUAUAGAUGGAUCCGUGCCGCAUUAGCUAGUUGGUAAGGUAACGGCUUACCAAGGCAACGAUGCGUAGCCGACCUGAGAGGGUGAUCGGCCACACUGGAACUGAGACACGGUCCAGACUCCUACGGGAGGCAGCAGUAGGGAAGCUUCCGCAAUGGGCGAAAGCCUGACGGAGCAACGCCGCGUGAGUGAUGAAGGUCUUCGGAUCGUAAAACUCUGUUAUUAGGGAAGAACAAAUGUGUAAGUAACUAUGCACGUCUUGACGGUACCUAAUCAGAAAGCCACGGCUAACUACGUG